rnacentral:rRNA from 1 species
UCGAGAAUCUUCGGCAAUGGGCGCAAGCCUGACCGAGCGACGCCGCGUGCGGGAUGAAGGCCUUCGGGUUGUAAACCGCUGUCGUAGGGGAGGAAGCAACCGUGAAGAACGGAAGUUGACCGAUCCUAGGAGGAAGGGCCGGCUAAUCUCGUGCCAGCAGCCGCGGUAAUACGAGAGGCCCAAACGUUAUUCGGAUUUACUGGGCUUAAAGAGUUCGUAGGCGGCGCAGAAAGUAGGGUGUGAAAGCCCUCGGCUCAACCGAGGAAUUGCGCCCUAAACUACUGUGCUUGAGGAAGCUAGAGGUGAGCAGAACAGAUGGUGGAGCGGUGAAAUGCGUUGAUAUCAUCUGGAAUACCGGAGGCGAAGGCGGCUCACUGGGGCUUUUCUGACGCUGAGGAACGAAAGCCAGGGUAGCGAACG